AUGCAAAGCAUGCAUCAGCCACAUCCAUGCUAUCUCCUAAAGCAGUCAUUCUGAAACCCAAUCUGGGGACAGUGCAGACUAAAUAAAAUUUCAUUUUGAUUUGGCCUCCCGCUGCGAAUGGGACUGCUUUGUCUCAGCCGACAGAACCAGCAAGCCAGAAAGGGAAUGAAGACAUUUGGAGAAGAAUCAUUUACUGAAAGGAGACUCCUGGACUGGAGGAAAACCAUGAUCUACAGUUCAUGUUGACAGAUAUUGUGUUUUUGGUCCUAGAUCUGACUUUUGAAAUGACUUAUCACAAAUUCAGAUUUAGCAAUCAUGAGUGAAGUACCCACAAUGUGCUAAGCAUCUACCUUUGCAGAUAGAACACUUACUGUUCCUGAGCAUGGGAGGGAAUAGAAGUUCCUGGGUCCUGGCCUCAACUCCUCAGGCACUGCCAAAUUUGACGCCUCCUUCCUGUUCACGGCAGUCCUUUGGGAUGGGGUAUUAGAUGCCACCAAAUAGCUGCAUAACUCACCUACUUUGUCAGAGACUGGGUCUAAGCCAGGUCUGACAGACGCCAAAGCAAGCCCUGUUUACAGCAUGACUGGGAUCCAGUGGGUAAGGCCAACCUGUCAAUGCCCAACUGCAGAUGAAAUAAUAGUGCUUCAACUGAUUGUUGCAAGCCCCUCAUGAAGGAUGCCAUAUCCCAGCGCAGAUGGUAACACAGGCUACUUUUCACCUCCAACCUCCAAUAUCCUUUCUUUCUUUCCUUUUUUUUUUUUUUUUUUUUUUUUUGAAAUAGAGUCUCCUCUGUCCCCCAGGCUGGAGUGCAAUGGCAUGAUCCCAGCUCACUGCAGUCUCCACCUCCUGGGUUCAAGCGAUUCUCCCGCCUCAGCUUCCCGAGUAGUUGGGAUUACAGGCACCCGCCAUCAUGUCCAGCUAAUUUUUGUAUAUUUGUAGAGACGGGGUUUCACCAUGUUGGCCAGGCUGGUCUUGAACUCCUGACCUUAGGUGAUCUGCCCACCUCGGCCUCCCAAAGUGCUAGGAUUACAAGUGUGAGCCACCAUGCCCGGCCCCAGUAUUCUUUCAUACUAGACACUGUGUAAGCUAAUUAUUCAGCAAGUAUUUUGCACUGAACUCUAAAUAGGUAAGUAUUUUGUGUCCAUUUUACAGACAAGAGAAAUAAAAUAGGUAAAGUAAUUCCCCAAAGCUAUGAUAAAUGAAUCCUAUAGCUAGAAAUGGCAGAAAACCCAUGGAAACUUCUAUGGGGAGUGGAUGUCUGCCUUACCUUGGCACAAUGCUUGGUCCUCAAAUAUCAUUUCAGUGACAUUGCCAAAUGGGAGAAAUCAUGUCUGGUACAUGGGACACAAGCUGCCUCGAAAUAUCCUGAAUGCAUUUUUUCAGGGGAGAAAAUCCAUUCGAAUAAGAAUAGCUAGUUACAGCUUAUUAUGUGCCAGACACUGUUCAAAGUGUUUAAUGCAUAUUAACUUCUCAAAACCACUCUAUAAGUUAGGUACUAUGAUUUCCAUCUCCAUUUUACAGAUGGGGAAACUGAGCCGUCAAAACUAAGUGACUUGAUUGAGGCCAUGCAGCUGGGGAGGGGAAGACCAGGAUCUGAACCCAACUGGGUCUCCCAAGCCUGGGCCACUGAACCCUUUUACCUCUUGGAAAAACUUAACUGUCAGAGUGGCCCACCCGGUCCAUGGACAGCAUGGAGGUAAUGAACUUUAAUCAAAAACAUUGUGCAUUGACUGAGCAUUUAUUCUUUUAAGACAAUAUAUUUGGAUGCCUUUGGAUGUACGGAAUUCAAAUUAUUAAUAAUGUUCACAAAAGUUUCCUUGUAUUUUUAUGCCAAAAUACAAUAAAAUGUCAACUUGGUUCCAGUGACCUUUAUACUGUACAUAUUAUGUUUAAUGUAGUUCGGUAUUGUAGCUAAAUUUAUUAUCUAACUUGUUGAUGCCAAUAAGCUGAUGCAUAUGAAAGGGACCUGCAAAAAAAUUAUCAUACCAAAACACUUCAGAAGAAGCCAUAAAAGUAUUAUGAUAAAAUAUCAGAGGAAGAUAUAAAAUUGGGGAGUGGUGAAGUUAUACUUUGCAGCAUUUGCUCACGAUAUUUGAGAAAGUAAACUUUUCUGUCUUUU
rnacentral:lncRNA from 1 species